AGAGCGGCGUACGGGUGCGGAACACGUGUGCAACGACUUUAUCUGGGGGAUAGCUUUCGAAAGGAGAUUAAUACCCCAUAAUAUGUUGAAUGGCAUCAUUCGACAUUGAAAACUCCGGUGGAUAGAGAUGGGCACGCGCAAGAUUAGAUAGUUGGUGAGGUAACGGCUCACCAAGUCUACGACUUUAGGGGCCUGAGAGGGUGAUCCCCCACACUGGUACUGAGACACGGACCAGACUCCUACGGGAGGCAGCAGUGAGGAAUAUUGGACAAUGGGUGAGAGCCUGAUCCAGCCAUCCCGCGUGAAGGACGACUGCCCUAUGGGUUGUAAACUUCUUUUGUAUAGGGAUAAACCUACCCUCGUGAGGGUAGCUGAAGGUACUAUACGAAUAAGCACCGGCUAACUCCGUGCCAGGCAGCCGCGGUAAUACGGAGGGUGCAAGCGUUAUCCGGAUUUAUUGGGGUUUAAAGGGUCCCGUAGGCGGAUCUGUAAGUCAGUGGUGGAAUCUCACAGUUUAACUGUGAAACUGCAUUGGAUACUGCAGGGUCUUGAAGUGUUGGUUGAAAGUAACCUGGAAAUAAGUAGUGGUACGGGUGAAAU
rnacentral:rRNA from 1 species